rnacentral:misc_RNA from 1 species
CAGUGUUCCCUGCCCUCACGGGUAGGAUCGCCCACCCUUGAAUAUGAUGUUUGUUGCUUUGGCGGGCCCUGAGGCCCAGCCGCGCUCCCGCUCCGGCGGGGGAGUGCCCGCCAGAGGACCCCAAACCCUGAAUAUUAGUGUCGUCUGAGUACUAUAUAAUACUUA